rnacentral:tRNA from 1 species
GUGAUUAGCUCAGCUGGGAGAGCACCUCCCUUACAAGGAGGGGGUCGGCGGUUCGAUCCCGUCAUCACCCA